UACGUAGGGUGCAAGCGUUGUCCGGAAUUAUUGGGCGUAAAGAGCUUGUAGGCGGUUUGUCGCGUCUGCUGUGAAAUUUCGGGGCUCAACCCCGAACUUGCAGUGGGUACGGGCAGACUAGAGUGUGGUAGGGGGAGACUGGAAUUCCUGGUGUAGCGGUGAAAUGCGCAGAUAUCAGGAGGAACACCGAUGGCGAAGGCAGGUCUCUGGGCCAUAACUGACGCUGAGGAGCGAAAGCGUGGGGAGCGAACAGG
rnacentral:rRNA from 1 species